GUUUGGCAAAUAUAGCAUUACAAAAUCGAACUUUUUACAAAGAGCUUAUUGAGCGGAUCCAAUAAAUCCACUUCAACUUCGAAGGGUAAAAGGCUCGAAUGUUGUGAUCCAGGAAGGGCACGCGCCUUUUUCUACCCGCUCGAGUCUCAGUAUACCGAACGAUAGCAGGGCCGACUUUGUAAAAACAAACAACACACUGUAGCUUAUCAAACGAACGCCAGGCAUUGAGCAUCAGCCAGCUUGUAGCAGAGCAAACUUUUCGAGGUUGCCCGGGCAACCGGCAAACACAAAGAAACCAACCACCACUAGCCACGAGACUUGAGAAUUCGCGGUGGCGGCGGCGGCGCGGCUGUAGCAACCCCGAGGAGAAUCGCGUGGAGUGGAGUAUGAAAAAGAGGCCCU